rnacentral:lncRNA from 1 species
CUGGAAGACCAAGAUCAAAGUGUCAGCAGGGUGUCACACCUGCAUUACGGCCUGAAGGCUCUCCUCCGCUACCCUGCUCCUCCUCUUUCUCCAUCACAGGUCGGGUAUUUCCCCCGGCGAGGAACCUCCACCAGGGAACCGGCCAGGCCUCUCUCAGUGCCCCCAGGCUCUCCCCGUGUGGCCUUCCCUCGGGUGUUUCUCCGUCUCUCCGUCUCUCCAUCUCUCCAUGGAACUUGUGGGCCUCCUGAGAGCUCGCGUUCUCAUGAACCCACAGGGAGGCCUGCAGUUUGAGGCAGUAAGUUUGAGUCAAGACGAAGUUCAGAUGGGACUACACUGAAGAAAGACUUCAGAGUGACUUUUCACCUCUCUUCCCUGAAGAAGCACAACCUUCCGUCUUCCCCUGGCUCUAGAAGAGAAAUUCCUGAGACACUCGCAAUUUGAGAGGCAAAUCCUGGAGACAAGGGCAGGCCCUGGAAGAGUCUGGAAAGGGUCCAGAUGGAGUCCUUUUAGGCACUGCAGCAUAGCAGCUUCAUGAGAAGCCAGACAGAAAGCCCAGGCAUUAGCAGCUACUAUAAACGAAAAGCAGCAACAGCAAUAA